GCGCGAGUGGCUCAGCGGUGGAGCACCACCUUGCCAAGGUGGGGGCCGCGGGUUCGAUCCCCGUCUCGCGCU
rnacentral:tRNA from 1 species